UUUUUUUUUGCUGACACUUGUUGGGCACAAUAUUAUUCCCAUAGAGUUAAGUUGUCCAACAUAGAGCAUGCGCUUGUCCUUGUCAAACAUUUUAGUCUCCUAUUUAACCCUAACACUAUCAUCCAUUGAUUAACACAAAGUCACCAAUAUUAUUGGGUGAGAUAAUAGCAAAAACAAUAUAAAAGUCACGCCAAACAGACCUAGCCAAAUGACAAGUUUUGAACAUUUGAACAAUUAAUCUCAUUGCUAAAAGGGCACGACUUUUGUUCCAUUUUCAGAUUGCUUCUAUAAUGAGGUUAAACACAUGGAGAUCCUAGAAGCCUAAACCUCCCUUUUUCUUUGAUUCUAUCUACUUUCCCUAGCAGAUCCAAUUGAUUUAAUAUCUGUUCAUUUUAGCUCCCCUCCACCGAUAAAAGCAUACUCCCUCUGUCCCUUUUUCAGACUUGUUGUAGCUGUGCUUCUAGCUGUCUCCAUUCAAAGCAUCAUGCAUGUAUCUAGGUGAAGGCUUCGGUCCAAAUUCAUUGAAUGUUGCUUGUACCUGAGUGAAGGGUAGAACGACUCUCAAAUGAGGACAGAGGGAGUAUGUACUUACAUCAUCACAUAGUCCUUUAGUUCAAUCAAAACACGACAUCUUGUUCAAAAAUAUAAAAAAUAAAACAAACCAGUUGCUUUGUACUCAUCCCUGAUGACGAGUGUCUUCUGUGGUGCAUUUCAAAUCUUGUGUGUGAUGGAGUUCCCUUCAGCUUCAACGGUGGCGGUCGGUGGCGUGUUCGAGUGGUGACAAGGUUUUCUGGAAUCUUAUGCUUGCAAAGGGUCCAUGAACCUUUUGUAGUUUGCACUUUUCUAAGGGCCUUUUGUGAAAGUAGGGUAGGGCAGAUGUCCUCUGUAUUCCUUUAUGGCAUACUCCCUCUAUACCCAUAAAAAAGUCGUUUUAGAUAAAAUUUAAGUCAAACAUUAAGAAUAUAAAACAUGAAAUUGUUGAAUUUGGAAAUGUAAAAACCAUAUAAAUAGAUUUGUCUUGAAAAUAUUAAUGCUUUCAUAGAAGUAUAUAUACACCACUUGUUGAUAAAUAUUUUUAUAUAAAAACAACGAGUUAAAGUUAGGUUUUAGAGACCAUAUCGUUGUCUUAAACGACUUUUUUUAUAGGUAUCGAGGGAGUAAUUGUAAGUACAAGCGUCUUUGUACGUUUUCUUAUAUUAACUUUUAAUAAUACAGGUUUGCUUGAUUAAAAAAAAAAAGGCUUUGCUGGCUCGCCGACGACACGGCGCGCGGCCGCGGCAGCGUGGUAGAGCUAGAGCAACGACGCGCGAGGCCGCGCACGGGCUGCACCUGCACUCUCCUCGCUCGAUCGCAUGGCCCUCCUCUUUCUCGCACAAGUGCGCGCAGCAAAGCCGCACAGAUAGCUCGCCGAUCGAGCUCUGGCCGAGCGCGCGCCUGCCUGAUGAGCCGCAGCCGCUGCGUAUACUCUGCUCACCGUCCUGUUGUUAAUUACGUACCUUGUUGAUGUCAUCUCGUGAUGUCUUGAAAAAUGUCAUUUUUUUUUCCCCCUUGGAAACAGAACAGCAUCAUGCUGCUGCACCAGGGGUUAUGGAAGAGGGUUCCUCUGUCUCCCACUUAUUAUGCGUUGAGGUGUUGCGGCAGAUUCGAUUUACUGAAGAUAUGCCGACGAUCGAGUGAGGAUGUCGUCCUGCUGUCAUUCAGCAGCAGUGGUGCUGGACAAGGCGGUGAGGAUUAAUAACUUACUCUUGCUUAAUUCAUGGGUCUCAACACAAUACAUUCUGUUUUAAUUACAUGGAAGUUUGGCUAGAAUAAUACACAUUCUCAACUUAUAUCUUAAUUUAGGCAUUUAGGCAAUGCUAGUCAUGCAUGGAUCACACAGCGACACACACAAGUCGACGACGACUACUACUGCUUGGUGAUGGCGUAGACGGCGUAGAUGAUGCCGGGGAGGUAGCCGAGGAAGGUGAGGAGGAGGCAGAUCCAGAACUGGUGCCCGCACCCGAACUUGAGGAACACACCCAGCGGUGGCAGGAUGAUGGCGAUCAGGAUGUCCACGCAGUUGGCCGUCCCCUCCGACAUGGCUGCCUGCCUUCUCGAUCUGCUUUGCUAGCUUCGGUGAAACUCGAUCGAUGGACGGACGCAGUACUCCGGCCGAUGAUCCUCCCUGUAGUCCUGCUUUUGCUUGGCUUGGAUAGUUGGAUGGAUCGGAUUCUUCCUGAUUUCCUCCUUCCGCUUGCCCUGGUACCGGCUCUGGCUGGUGGUCGUGCUUCACUUUAUAUAUAGACAGAACGGACCGGGAGGGAGACAGCGUAGAAUCCAUCUCUAUCACCACCAGUGGAACACGCAGCAGCAAGCAAGAGGACACGUCCCAUGCAUCGAUGGUGCCGCCUACGAUACGACGUCUCCCGCGACGGACGGCAAACCGUGGGCGGCUGGCGCUGCCGACGCGCAGGGCCGGGGUUACAGAUAGCUAGAGUGGACCCCACACGGCGUGCCUGCUUCCUUCGCUGCUAAUCCUUCAGUCCACGGAUAAAUACACGUCUUUUUUCUUUUAAGUUUACCAAAUAUGUAAAAAUAUGUUGAUAUUUAUCAUAUGUAAUAUAUAUCAUUAGAUUGUGUACGAAAUAUAUUUUCAUAAUAUACUUAUUUAUAGAUAUAUAAAUAUUGAUAUUAUUCGAUAUAUUUUUAGUUAAAAAAAAAAUUGACUCUUCGAGAACCGAGACGUGUAGUAUUUAUUUAUGGACGAAGGGAGUAAGCUACAGCAUCUAAGGGCUUGUUUAGUUCGUGAAAAAUUAGAUUUGGUUACUGUAAUAUUUUUGUUUUAUUUGAUAAUUAGUAUCAAAUCAUAUACUAAUUAGGUUUAAAAAAUUUGUCUUCUAAGUUAUAUAUAAACUGUAUAAUUAGUUAUUUUUAUCUAUAUUUAAUGUUUUAUGCAUGGUUUAAAAAAGUUGAGAGAGGUUAUUUGUUUGGUUGUAGAGUUGAGGGAGGAAAAGUAGAUUUUUUGAAAAUUGGGGGAGAAAAGGUAGACUUUUUCCACGUAUAAAUAAUUAAACAAGAGCAGCAAGCUCCUCUAGCCCAACCGAUGGCCCAAGCGUCUUCGGUUAUCGGGCCCAGCCAGCUAAGCUUGAGAAUUGGGCCAUUACACCCUCCAACCACACAUGAAUCUACCUAUGAUAUGAUUUAUUAUUUCCUCUCAAAAAAAAAAACCUAUGAUUUGUUAUUCAUAUUAUCAUAUAAACAAAAUGUUCAUGGAUACUAAUUACGAUCCAUGGUGCUACAUAGAACAUAGAAGAUUUUAUCGCCUGCUAAUUAAUUUGUUGCAACACCAUAUAGAUUUGGAUUUAAACAACUAUGUUUCAAGAUCUUCGCUCAAACCUACACAAACAUGAGUUGGCGACCAAGAAACCUUUCACUAAAACUGCAAAUAUGUUACUGAAGACCGAAGCAGUAUACAACAUCUGGACGGGUGUCCUCAGACUAGAUGACAGGCAGCACUAACCACGACACAGCAUCAGGGAGAAACACUCACGGCAUACAUAUACAUAGCUAUCCUACGACAACUGUCAGGCAGGCAUCUUUGUUCGAUCAUCCCACGACAAACUGGGAUUGGAAGGAAAACCCUUCGUGGUUAGAACAAUCAGCAACUUGUUCAACAAUCCUCGUCAGGAAUGCAGUUCUGGGUCUGAAUCAAAGGGACUGAAGACUGGCAACUUUCUCUUCUUCUGCUCUUUUCUUUGGCCUGUGAAAAAAACAUAAAUGUUAUGUUGUCCCUUCAGCUGUAAAAAUGUUCAUGAAUUAAACCACAGCUUAGGCAUCGUUACUUUCUCUUCCUAUUGUGACAAGCAUGGAACUAAAAGGGAUACAAAAUAAUGGCUUGAAUAAUAUUUUUUUUUUCUUGUACAGGUACCAAACUGACUGAUCUAAAUAUGGGAUGUUGAAAACCAGCUCUAUCCUCACCUACUAGAAUUAUUAACCUCCUCUUUUCCAUCUUCCUCACUAGCUACAACGUCGACAACAGGCUCAUACAGGUACCAUUCUUUCCGUUUCCUGAUACACAAAAAGGAAAAGCAGAAUCAAGGCGAUUUCAAUGCCAAACAGCAGUAAACUAGUAACUAUUACUUCAAACACAAAGUGAACAUUAUCAGUCAGUACUUCCCUAUCAGUACCAUCAAAACCGAACUAUAGUAAUAGUUAACAAAUCAAGGUUUUUAGAAGAAAAAGGUUGUACCGGAUGACACUUCCUUUGCUGCCAAAAUACUUGAACAAAUCCACUGCAUUGUUCACAGCUUUACUGCAAAAUAUGGUCAUAUCAAUUUUAGUAACAAAUAGAGAAACAAAAUAGGAAGGAUGGCAUUUAGCUUGGAUGUGCCAAUUAGCAUCUUUAUGGCAGUCCCCCUACGUUUCCCUACAUUUUUCUUCUAAAGAAAAAAAAGAGUAAACUCUUCCACAAACCUAUUAGAAGAAAAUUCUGGUGCUCGCCUUCCCUUCUUUGACAUUUGCUUCUCCCUCAUAACAGAGACACUCUGACUAGCAAUCUACAAACUCAAAAUAUAUUUUUUCAAUAAAAAGCCUUAUACAAAACAAAAGAUUAACAAUAUAUGUGAAGGAACCACAUACAAACUUUAUAAGUUCUGCCUCUAAUGGAACAUCAAAGUCAAGAUAUUGCAAUAUUGUGAACUGAGUUAGGAAAGAAAAUUAGCUAACCUCAUAAAGCUGCUCACGGAUGGAAACUGCUAUUGCAGGCUGCACGUCAAACAAAAAGACUUUGUCAUCAUAGAACAAAGUUGCAGGAACAAUGCACAAUUUUUACAUAAAAAGAACUGCAGUGAAAGAAAUAUUCAUAUAACAGCAAAUUAAUGACUAAACCAUCACAAUUCUGCAGCCAUGCAAAAUCAUAAAUAAUAAAAAAGGACAAUAACAGUAAUAGUGUUUUACAUGACUUGCAAGUACAAUAAAGUUAAAUGCAAGUUCAGAGAAAACAUGGGAAAAAAAUCAUCCGGGAAUCCAUCCUGUAUAACAAUUUGGGAGAAUUGAAAUGCGUAAACAGUGGCCAGUUGACAUGGAAAACCAUCAUCAUAAAAGCUGUUGCUUUAGUUCAAUUAACAGUUCAUUCCACUGAACACUCAGAGCUUCAGUAUAUAAGGCAUACCCCAACUUCAGGAUCUGUGAUGUUCAAAUCAUCACACAGCGUCCUUGCAAAUUCUUCAGGGUCACUAUCAAGGUUGCCGAUAUCCUGACCACCAAGAGUAGAUGGGAAUUAAAGCAAAUCAUCUGGUCAUGAGGACUCCCGAAAACCGCAAACACACAUGUACAUACCCAUAAGAACUGGUCUCUAAUUACAGUGUUGUUCACUCGGAGGUCAAUCUGCGGAUUCAACAUAUAUAUAAGCUGUCACUUAAGGACAUAAGCCCCAUUCAUCUGAGGAUAAAAAUACAACAGGCCCAGAAACUGCCUGCUGAUGAGCAAAGAUUAACCAGAACAAUAAAACAAACCUUGAGAGGCACAAUCUUCUCCUUGAUUUGCAUCUCCUGCCCCUCGUAGGAGCGGAACUCCGCCAGUUGCCCCUACACGAAAAACAAUACAGUCGAUGGACCAUUAGCAGCGCAGAACACCUUGCAGGAUAGGAUAGGACAGGACAGCCAAAGAAGCGAAAAGAGAGGCACCUGGAUGGACUGGAGCAUCUGGGGAACGAAAUUGGCCGGCAGCUUGAGGUCCUUGGCCGUCCGCUUGGCGAAGCUAAUGAUCUCCGAGUCGGGAUCUGCCGGCAAGCCGCAAGGAGCAAGCGGGUCAAUCCAGGCAGGAAGCGAGAAACGCGACGCGAACUGGAGAUGAAUGAAGCGAGAAGCGGAGGCCGGGUACCUCGCGGGUUCCAGGUGAAGGCGUCCCUGUAGCGCUGGCCGUCCACCUCGACGUCGACGCGUAUGGGCACGAGGUUGUCCCUCGUCGGCCUGCAGCACGGAGGAGGCAGAGGAAGAGCGAAUCAGCCACCCGCGCCCUCUUCCUCCCACAGCAAUCGAUCCAAGGCGUCUGUCUAAUGUAAGGGGAUUAGGAGGGAGCCAGGGAGGGAGAGGGCGUACAUGCGGAAGUUUACGGUGGAGGGCCUGGAGGCGCCGAGGCUGACCGUCUUCAUCUCUGUACCCCUCGCCGUCGCUCGGUGCACCGCCGCCGCCGCCGCCGCCGUCGCCGUAGCCCCGCUUCGGUCUGCGCCGGCGUGCAACGCGAAAUAACGGGUACCGUGUGCGUGUGGGCCUAACUAAUUAGAGGCCCAACAACAAAGUCUUCUAUGUACGGGCGCCGGAGGUUUCAUGGGCCGAAUUCACGACAACAUUUAUUUGCCGUGAAUGGUUUUUUAAACACUUUUGGACACCAAUUAAAAUGUUGUAGAGGUUUUCUCUUUUUUUUUAUUUCCCAUUGUCUAAGAACUUAAUCUAAUUUUGGAAGUUUCUAGAUGGUUUUCACAAGCUAUAAGUAUCUUAUUCAAAUUCAUUAAAUGCCAAUCUAUCUCUAUGAUUUUUCUGAGAUUUUUUGGAAGCUUAGAAACGUUUUAUGUUGAUUAGAAACAUUAAUAAGUAUUUAUUGGGUUUUUUGAAACAAAAGAGAAAUAAACACUUUCAGAAACAAGUUGAAACCAGGCAACUAGGUAAUUUGAAUGUUUUUAAAAUUUUAGAGGGGUUAAGAUGUUUGGUUUUGGAGUUCAUGAAGAAAAAUCAGACUAUGCCGAUAAUUUAAGAAGAUAAAGUAGACUUUUUCAAAUAGAUUUAGCUAGAAGCCCUAUAUAUAUAUACACAAUAUAUACCUAUACGUAAAAAACUAUCUCAGCUCUCAAAGUAAGAUAACUCCAUUAUUUUGUUCAAGAGGAUAUAUUAAUAUUUUUUUAAGAAAAUAAUAGUCUCUGCUUUGACCACAAUAUGGGUUUUAUACAUCAAGAAAGAGUUAGUGUAGCAAAAAUGCAAAAUGGUCUUAUACACAAAACUAAGCAUUAAAGUUUAAGAGCCCAAUUCGAGAGCUCCACGUGGCUCCAACUCCAGAACUAUAGGUAUAGCUAUUAUAACGGAGCCAGAAGAACAUCCAAUCUGCAGCUACUCAAGCAUCUUUGUUUUCUAGUUGAAUUUAGGUAGAGUCAGAGCCAUUUCACCCAUGGCUACAGUAUUACAAUGUGGAACAAGAAUGUAUAGUGCCGACUGUCCGGUACUAACCAAAGCUCAAACGGUGCCAAACGAGGCUUUAAGAAAAGACAUCCAUCUGUAGCUAACAAAGAUCUUUAUGGUCUCAAAACAAAUGGCCUUAUGCUUAUGCUUAUUUUAUUCUUGUUAAAGCGCCAUUGACAACCAUGCUUUGACAUUUUAUUGUAAAAUGUCAUAAAUAUAAUGACAUUAUGUUUUUUUUACGAGAUAUAAUAACAUUAUGUGUUAUUAUCACAAAAGAAUCUAGGUCCUCCUUAGUUGGAAUUAUUUAUGAAUUAUUAUGUGUUUUCAUAUGAAAUUAAAUCAAUUUCUAUAAAAUUCGUUAAAUUCUUACGGUUUGCGUCUGCAUUAGAUUAGAUUAGAUAAGAUGAUGAUGCCAAAAAAAAGAAGAAAAAUCUCAUUUUCAAUUGUGAUGCUCGUUCGAAAAAGAUUUCCAUUGUGAUGAUGAGGAAAAUAUCUACGUGAGGUCGGGCUAGGCACACACCACCAUCCGGUGACGUCGUCUUCUUCCCAAGCUAUCCCUCUCGCUGUCUCGAUCCAGUGUGUAUACAGUGACCCACGUCUCGGUUCAUCGCCGGCGGCGGCAGCGUCGCCGCUUGGGCGAGCUCUUCAUCUGCGCUUCACCGGCGAAGUUUCCACUAGGUACGCCGCCCAUUCCUGCUGCUGUGCGGAGCCAAGCACCGCCCAAGCUAUAUACGCAUUAGGAAUCUGACCCAAAUCUAUCAGACUGUCCACUGCCUUCGAUUUUUUCAUAUUGGGCGCGCCCCUGUUGAUUGCUAGGUGGGGGUGAACAUGUCGAGCGCAGCGGUGAACGGGCUGGCCGGCGCCGGCGGCGGCAUCAUCGCUCAGAUCAUCACCUACCCUCUGCAAACCGUACCACCCUAUUCUAUUCUCUUCUUGCCCCUAUGUUAUGUCCUCUUCUAAAUUCGACAAAUACUAUCCUUUUGCUCCGCCCGAUGGUUCCCCCAGGUGAACACCCGGCAGCAGACGGAGAGGUCAGCGAAGAAGAGGAAGGCCGGGAGCGGCGGCAGCGCCACCCACACCUCCACCCUCUUCCAGAUGCUCCAGGUGAUUCAUCGCGGGAUUCAGGUCUUCUUCCUGUAGCGGCUGCGCCAGAUGCCCUCUCCCUAAUUAAUUUUGGAAUAAUCAAGUGACUGCAGCUGAUACAAACCGAAGGAUGGGGUGGGUUGUACAGUGGUCUCAAGCCCUCUCUAAUCGGCACUGCCGCGUCGCAGGUUAAAUUCCACUUCUAGUUUGACUGGAUUUCGAUAACUACAAACUGCAAUGUGUAUGGAUGAUGAGUACUCCCUCCGUCCCCGAAAGCUGCAAUUUCUAGAGUUGUUCGAAGUCAAAAUUUUAAAACUUUGACCAAAUUUAUAGAAAAAACACUAAGAUUUAUAGUACCAAAUUAAUACCAUUAGAUUUAUCAUUGAAUAUAUUUUCAUAAGAUACUCAUUUUAUGUUAUACAUAUUGAUGCUCUUUUCUAUAAAGUUGGUCAAAGUUAAACAAGUUUGACAGUGCUAGUUGUGAACUUUGAGUCACAUUCGGUUUCAUGGUUCCAGGGAAUCUAUUACUACUUCUACCAGAUCCUCAAGAACAAGGUGGAAGAUAUAGCAGCUGCUCGUAGUAAGAAGGGCCAUGGGGAUGGUACUGUUGGGAUGCUUUCUUGGCUUGGUAUUGCAGCUGUUGCUGGGUAAGUUUCCUACUACUGCUACUCUUGCAUUUGUGUUGUUUAACUGGUGGAACAAAUUAAAGCAGAUGGGUGGAUUGGUUGAACUUCUUAUGUGUAGACCUGUGAUUUUAUUGGAUGGGUGGAUUUAGUGUUACUGUGUGUACUUUUGUGGCAAAUGUGCUGAUUUUAUGUGAUUUUGUAACUUAGGUACCAAAAAGCGUAGUUUUCAAUAGUUUGUAUGACUUAGUUUUAUUUUAUGAGUUAAUAAUCUUGAUCUUUCGGCAUGCUCAUGGUCACUUUUCUUUGUUGCAGGUCAAUCAAUGUUCUUCUAACCAAUCCAAUAUGGGUCCUUGUGACACGUAUGCAGGUAAAUUAAACUAGGUUAAUUAAUGCCUUUUUUCUUCAAGAAGAUAACUGGCACAGUUCACUAAAGAAGAGAAUCUACAUACAGGGGUUUUGAGUUCUUCUGUCUGAAAAACUGCUACAACUGACCUGGUCAGGGAAUGCUUAUAUUAGUGAUACUGUUACAUCCCACUUCAUUGUACUCACACAGUGUUGUGUAACUUCUGUUGCUUCUGAUAUCCCUUGUGAUGAGCCUAUCUACUGUUUAGAUAUGAAAUUGUAUGCGCAGCCAGGCAAAGAGCUUACAUUCCAUUGUCUCAAAAUGUUCGUAUUUGGGAAGUUGUAUGGGUGAGGAUAAAUCAGGGGACUGAAAUAGUCUUCUCUAUUAAGCAGCUAUAGGAAUAUUAGUAAAGCUUUUUAUGCUGGACAUUUAUUGCUGAACUAUGAUAAGGUGACGUUACAUACAGUAUUGUUGACAUGUUACAGUCUCAUUUUACUAUGAGACUCCAAUCCUUAAAAGUACAGUGCUGAUAAAUAAGAUCUUUAUUGUCAUUUUUUCCAGAAAAGAAGCUAACACUUAUGGUUCGGGACCUAUCUGGUUGUGAUUUGUUUUGUUCUUCACAAAGCAUUUCCAUGCCUCGUAGUUUCUAGUUUUUUUUAAGGCCUAUUGGCUUGACUAUGAAGUUAUGAACUACAAUUAAUACAUUCGCCAUGACUCAUAUCCAAAUUUUUUCCAGCCAGAAUCAUGCAAAAGUGGUUACUUGAUAAAAAAAACAUUAUUUGUAUAUUAGCUGAACUCCAUGUGGGGCCUGCUUUUACCUAGCCUACUGACAAUGAAGUGGCUAAAUUUAAUUGCAUUGAUGCAAUAUGCUUCAGCACUACUCAGAACAAUAACUGCAGCAAAUUAGUAAUUAUCAUUGGCUGUCUUCCAGACACAUACUCAAGCGAAAAGGAAAAUAUUGGAGUCUAAGAGCGAGCUUUUACUGAAAGAAAUGUCUAGGGCCAAUUCAUUGGAGGUUGCAGUUCUGAAGGAUAGGCUGGUUAAACUGGAGUCGGAAAAACCUCGUCCAUAUGGUACUCUUCAAGCGGUUAGCACUCUUUCUUCAAGUAGGCAACCCCUUCAUCCUAAACUUUACUGUUUUGGUACAGAAAAUUAAUCAGUAAAGAAAUGAAAUGGUUAAUGGUACAGAUCUUCUGAAAGAAAGAAUUGGGAAGUAUGCUAGAUGCCACUGUGUUAGUUGUUUUCACACUUAAUAGUUCGGAAAUAGUAAAUAGAUACACUUAAUAAUUAGAGGCUAUAAAAAUGCAAAAAAUCCUGAAUGAGUAGUAUUUCAAUUUGCUUUCUUAUUGGUAGGAGUAGUUUGUUAACCUAGAACAUUAUAAAUUUAAUCAAAGUUUCAUAUAAUCAGAUUGAAAAUAAGUGUAGCUGGUGUCUGAAGUUGCAAGUUCUUCUAAUUUUCUUUUACUUCACAAUUUAAAGUAAUCAAAACAAUAUUUUUAUCAAUGUAUAUCGGUCUUAGACAGAUCCAGGAGGUUUAUCGUGAGUCUGGUAUAAGAGGAUUUUGGAAAGGGCUUGUUCCAACAUUAAUCAUGGUUAGUUAUUUGCUUCUGAAAUAUACAAUCAAAGUUUAUGGGUUAUGUAUGCAAGUCCAAACCUUUGAAACAUUUAAAAUGACAGGUAUGUAAUCCAUCGAUUCAGUUCAUGAUCUAUGAAACAUUGGCAAAGCGCCUGCAGUCAAAGCAUUCUGGAAAGCAACUACCAAAAAGGAACCUCACUGCUAUGGAGGUACAUAAGUUUCAGAUUUAGGUCCUGGAUUAUUCUUGUCUUUAUGAAAUGAUGCAUGCGCCUGACUUUGUGAAAGCAUGAUUUUUUGGGCUCAUUGAUCACCUUAGCUGUUUAUUCUGCACCUAGAAAAUUCAUUUUUAUAUGAUGUCAUAUGAUGUUAUAUUAGAUGGUCCACGCAAAAUAGCUGUUAUUACCUACAAACCACUUUCUGCAAUUGUGGACUACUUAAUGGGAUUGUAACAGUUAGCAAUUGCAAAUGAUUAUGUUAUGGGAUUUUCUUCAUUAGUAUAUCCUUGUGAAAAGUUAUGAAUGGUCUAAGCAUGAAAAAUUAAGUGUAACUAUGGGAAAAUUUGUUUACAUCUAUGAUUAGUUUGUUAUCCAAAACAUCUCUUCGGUCUCUUCUAAAGUUCUAAUCCACAUGAUUCUUUUUUACUUGAAACAAAGAACUUAAUUCAUAUGUAUAAGAUCCUACUUUUAGUGGAAAAUGCCUCAGUACAUAAUCAUGGUAUGUGUCCAGAGCAGCCGGUAACCAGCUAAUGGAGAGCAUUGAGAUUAAUUAUUGUGUUGAUAGAGCACAAUAUACUCAAUAUGCAUAGGGCAGUUCUUAGUUGUGAAAAAAAUAAAUUCUUUAUUUGAUCAUGCACCAUUUUACCUGUAGCAGGCAACACGGAUCCGCUGCAAUAUUUGUUGCAACCUCUGAUUAGGGUUCCAUUUAAUUUUUAUGGGAAAUAAUUAUGCUUGACUAAUGAUCAAGUUAAACUAAUUAAUACGUGUUGGUUUACCCUCAGUCAUUAGUAACUACUUUUGCUUGAAGAUUCAUAAAUCUUUCUAUAAGAGGGCUAGCAGAGCAUUCAUAUGUUUAACUGUGCAUUUCUACAUACUCAAGAAAGAAGAACAAGCUCAUGACUUCUCUAUCCCAUAUCACCAAUGAGAUCAUAUAUUUUCUUUGUUACUACUCUAAAUUCAAUGACAAACUAUUAAACUAGCAGUAUGAAUGCACAAGCAGAUGGUAAUGUCCAUACAUACUUAUGCAGUCUUCCUCUGCACUUUCCUCCUCGAGCAGGUUUUUUUAUUGGGUGCAAUAGCAAAGCUUGGAGCUACUGUAGUCACUUAUCCAUUGCUAGUCGUCAAGGUACAUUUUAUUUAGAGACUUGUUAAUAGUUUUAACCCCGUACUCUGUGAAAAGUUUUAACUCUAGACUACCAGCACAUUACUCUAGCUAACUUUAUUCUUAAAUACAUUGGUCUGGAACUGAAGUAAGUGGCCUAAUUCAAAGGCCUAUGAAAAUCUUGAGACAUUCAUGUUUGUGAAAUUCCUAGAUUUUUUUUUGAGCUCGUGAAAUUCCUAGAAUUGAUUGGAUUCAUACUAUAUAAGUAGCCUAAUCGCAAUGUCAAGGGCCUGGGUAUCCAGGGAUGGCGGCCCUUGGCUUCUCAGCUCAUAGUUCGAACCAGGUAAGGGUGCCAGGGUUUUUGCCUGACUACCAACAGCAGAGGUGAGAUCAAGAAUAGCAGAGAGAGGGAAAUUAGGGAUAAACUUCUUGCUUGCUUUCAUUCAACGAGUACAGGGGGUACAUAUAGGAGCUCAGCUCCACUGCUACUUGCGCCAGCCAUUAACUGCUAGCUGGAUAAUUAAUUCCUUAAUCUCCUCUAUUACUUCGCCUUAAAGAAUACAGCCCCUCCAGCUGCCUAAGCCUCCUCGGUUUCUUCCAGGCCAUGCGCGCCCUUGGGGGCUGCCCUGUCUGCUCCUCGUGUCUGAGGCCGGCGUCUGUAGUGACGGCCCCACAUGGCAGCAGUAAUUAUUUUUGAUAUACUGUUGGGUCUAUUGUGCCUAGAUUCAAAUUGUGUGCCUUUACAUAUUACAGUAAUUGAAAUUCACUCAAAUGGCCUGGCACUUAGGUCUGCUUUAGAUCCACCUAGUUACGGACACUGAUAGAACAAGUCCAUCUCGAGGGCGUGGAGGGUGGUGAAAGAUUGAAUUUUGCGACAACUGGUGCUUUAAUUGUUUACUCAUUAUGUCUUAACUGUUGCAGUCAAGGUUGCAGGCAAAACAAGAAAUUGGCAGCAAUGCGAUGUCCAGAUACACAGGUAUCUUUGUCUACUGCACAACCGAAUUAAUAACAAAUUGUUGAUAUGUUUUUUUUCCGAGAAAAAGGCUCUUGAUAUACUUUCUUUGACAUCAUUGUUUAUGUGUUUUCAUAGGAAAAAAACUGUUGAUAUAGAACAAAUUGUUAAUAGUUUCUGAAAGCAUUGUGCUUUGAUAAUAAACAAGAUAUCCUAUUUAUUUUAGUCACACAUCUAAUUUCAUUGAUGUUAAGUUAACAUUACACCGACUCUUUUCACCAGGUACACUAGAUGCGAUAAUAAAGAUGGUCCGCUACGAAGGACUGCAUGGAUUUUACAAAGGAAUGGGUACAAAGAUUGUACAGAGUGUCUUUGCUGCCUCGGUUCUAUUCAUGGUUAAAGAGGAAUUGGUUAAGUUAGCAGUGCUUUUAGUUGCAAGGAGUAGGACUAUGCUUAUUACUACAUCCAAGAAACAAUAGGUGUAUGUCCAUGACCAAUAUUUUUUUGGGGAGAAAAGCCCCCCAUUUUUUUUGCCUCAACUUGUAAUAUAUAGGAUCUCAUUAUACAUAUCCUGUUCAUGAUCAAUAUGAAAUUCUUUACUAGUUACUAGAGAAAUUUUUGAAGCCUCUCAAAAGUCAUAUAUCUCCCCUGGAAGUUAUAGGGUCUCAAUAUGUAGGGUCUCAUCUGGAAGUUAUUACAUGUUUUGGGAUUAACUAGCAUCCCAAAUUAAGUGCAUUUCUAGCAUUUGAAUUUUGUCGUGAAAUAAGUAGACUGCUUCUAGGUAUGUCUCACAUAGUUUAGAGUUUUUUUUAAGUGCAAUCUAAAAUAUCUUUUGAUAUGGGUAAAUAUGAACUUCCAAGUAACAUAAAUCUUCUCUAAGAAUCAUACGAAUUCACUUAUUUUGGAAUGGAGUGAGUAUUGUCACCUAGUCUGUGCUUGAUAUUUGAAUGAUGAGUAAUAAUGCAUCGGAGGUACGACAAGCUUGUAUGGUGGGUGCAAGUCCAGAUCAUUGUUGUUGCAAAAUCAAUGCCGCAACUAGUCAUCGAAGUUGAUAGACUUAAAGCCAGCCAAUCCAGCUGCUACGGCUGCUAACUUGUGACAAAGACAUUGCAGCUACAGUAAAAAUAAUAGCUACAGUAAUGGUAAAGAGCCAAACGAACAGAGUACGUCGUUGUGACAUGAUGGACAGGAGAUCGUUGAAACUUGAAAGGGCAUGCCACUGUGGUGUCUAGCUUGGCAUCCACGGGAGCAAAAUGCUGAAAGGAUGAUUUCCAACCGCCACAGCGCGCUACCAAAACUCUGAACCAUCAGAAACAGAUGGACGGACACCUCUGCUAGCCUUCCUGAGGCUUCUCUGCGGUACUGCAGAGGAACACACACGUUUGAUCCUGGCAUCCUUUAGUUCCUAUCAAAUGUUUGACACAUACAUAAAACAUUAAAUAUAGAUAAAAAAAAUUAAUUAUACAGUUUGGUUGUAAAUCGCGAGACGAACCUUUUAAACCUAAUUAGCCUAUAAUUAACCAUAACUGCUACAGUAAUCCACAUGUAUUAAUAAUGGAUUAAUUAAACUUAAUAAAUUCGUCUCGUAGUUCUAAACAAGCUAUGUAAUUUAUUUUUUUAUUAGUUUAUACGUUUAAUACUUUAAAUAUGUGCUAACGUAUCUGUAACAGUCAAUUUUUUUUGGUUUUGAACUAAACAAGGCCCGUCCAAACACGACACACGUCCUUGAUCAUGGCAUCCUGCUAUUGAUAGUCACCCAUGUGCCAGGUGGGUUUGGACGAUGGCAAGUGAACUAGAUUAUUCAUUUUUUUCUUUUCAGUAGUCUCAUCCAGACAACUCUGUUGUCCCUAUUUAUGGAGACAAAAUAGGGAUUUUUCUGAUCUUAUUUACACUAAGGGCAUGAUCUGGCGAACUAGGGCUUAGUUCCUAGUCGAGCUAAAAAUUAGUUCCAAUUAGUUAAGAUUGGUUAGCUAGUUAUUAGAACCUCCUAUUUAAAUACACUCGAGCUAAUUUGGAUUAAUUUUUAUCUAGCAAGUGAUUCAUUAUGUAUCCAAACAAGCCCUAAAUAUGAUUGUUUCCUCAAUGUUUGUAGAACCACAUGCAGAUUUUAUUGUCAAGUGGACCAAAAGAUCUAGGGCUUUCUUAUUGUUAACUACAGAUUUUGUUCUCAAGCGGCGCAAAAGAUCUAGGCAUGACUACCGUUGCUCCUGCAUCACAGCAUCAAACGAAGUUACUGUUAGAAAUGCGGGUCUUCUCCUACGCCCUCGGCAGUUGCCGAGCUGUGCUCACUGCUCAACAGGAAGGAAUAAGAAAAUGAUUAAAGAUAAUGGAGAAAAACUUGGAAAUGUCAUAUUUAUUUUAUCUUAUUAACUACGGAAAACACCAUACUUAUAGAGAAGACAAAUGGUCGUUUUUCAAAAUUACAAGAUACUCUUGUUUAGCUACUAUAUUCCCAACAUAUUCGGAGCAAAGUGGUCUUUUACCCAAAUUCACCGACUCUGAUCUCCACUCGCCUUGCUUCUCAUGUCUCUCGUAUGAGGUGCGUUGUAAACCUUCAUGUCUUGUGAAGGUUUUAUCCCCUCAUGCUCAUAGCUACGAUAUGUUCAACAUCUUCAUGGAAAGAUAUAUUCAUCUUAAAAAUCUUCCCCAGAAUGGACAUGAGGGUUUCUCUGCAGAUCUCCACCGUACCCCAACAGUGUUCUUGUAUUUCCGUUGAAUAGAUGGAAAUAUGGUGUAUCUUCGAUUUGAAAAACAAAUCCAAAGUAGGGACCAAGAUUUAGGAGAUGAUGCUAGGAAGGCUCAAAACAAGGGCGAAAAAUAUAUGGACAGAUCCUACUUAGGGAGUAGAGACCCAGGAAGUACAAGCGAAGACCCUAUUUAGGAAUUACUUAGGGCAUCUCUAAUAGUACCAAAAAAAUCCUAAAAAUCUAGUUUCACAACAUUUCGAAUAUUUUAUUUCAAACAGAAUAUCCCCACCACCAGAAAUUUCCAAUAAUUUGCUCUAAAAAUUAAAAAAAAAACAGGUUCACUUCUGAAGAUCUUUGCUCGCUACCCAUGCCUCACAAAAUAGUGCCGAAAAAUCCAAUUCCGAUGAACCUCCCAGACGGCAGCGCCACAUCCAUAGCCGGCCGUUGUCAGCCGUCCCCGACAACCUAACUCACAGCUAGAACCUUCAAAAUAGAAUCUCCAUGACGGCGGUAGAGGGGAUAGAGUGUUGUGGAAAGAAUCAAAACUGGUAGUAAUAACUUUACCAAACUAUUGGAGAUGAUCUAUAACUAAUAAAAGCAAGAAAGUGGAAAAGGUAAAUGGGUGAUGAUAAUGCUGUCACGACCGGAAAUUUUAAUUAAUAGUAGCAAUACACGCAAAUUGAUAAUAGGGUUGAUCGUAGUAGGUACGCAUGUAAUUUUCAGCAGGAUUUCCUCCUACAAACUUUUGCUCGCAUAAUCUCCAUCGGAUCUGGACGUAGUGACAAUCUUGAGGGCUCUAAAAAAAAUUAAGUAAAUUAAUUAGUAGACAACUACAAUCUCUUGAAGUCUUGAGCAAGAAUUUUCCAGAAAAGAAAAAAAAACAUAAUAGUUGAGCAGGCAUAUCUCUCCCCUGUUGUGUUUUUCAUGCAUCGAUGAGGAUCGCUAAUUGGAGAGCCGAAUUAUGCACAGCGCGCUACGUGCGCAGGAUGAAGAAGACGCACAGCACGUGAUCAGGAUCAGGACUCAGAACUGCAGACGUGGCCAGGAAGCGGCAAAUCCAUGAUUGGGGACGCAAAAACCCAGUGGAACACCAACCGGGGGAUUUGUUGGAGACCGGUUUGGAGAUUCGGAAAGGUUGGCCGUCCGACAAUUAUUCGCUACUGGAUUCUGCCGAGCAUGUCUGAUGUUGUGCUAAGUAUUUUUUUCGAGCACUCGGCAAAGAGUGUUUUUUUACUCGACAAAUAGCUUCUUUUCUGAAUGUUUUUUUACACUCGGCGAAUAACUUAUUCAAAGUAUAUUUUAAAGCAGUAAAUUAAUUCAAAUGCAAAAAUUUUCUACUACAAAGUUGUAUGACUUCUCAAGAUCUACAACUUUUAUUUUGAUUAUUUUUUCAUUCGACAAAGCGAUAGUAACAUUGUUCACAAAAUCUACAUCUCUUUUCUAAGUUUCAUAAAACUACAAGAGAGAUAUAUAAGAUUUAUAAACAAUGUUAGAACCAUCAUGUCAAAUAAACAAAUGACCAAACAACUAAAAUAAACUUAAAAAUUUAUUAAACUUUGUAGUUGACAAUUUUUUCAUUUGAGUUCAUCUUGUUGUCAUGCAAAACUAUUUUUGAAUUUCAAAAAUUUAAAAUUUGAUUUUUUUUCAAAUGACCUCAGAUGAAAAAAUAACAUGCAUAAAAAUUAUAGAUCUCGAAAAGUAAUAAAACUUUAUAGUUGACAACUUUUUCAUUUGAGUCCAUCUUGACAUACAAAACUAUGUUUGAAUUUUAAAAUUUAAAAUUUUAUUUUUUUCAAACGACCUCGGAUGGAAAAAACAACCUAAAUGAAAAUCGUAGAUCUUGAAGCGUUAUCAGACUUUUUAAUUGAUAAUUUUUUAUUUGAAAUCAUCUUGCCAUGCAAAACUACGUUUAAAUUUCUCAAAUUUAAAAUUUAAAUUCUGUAAAAGACAUUGGAUGGAGAAACUUCCUAAAUGAAAAUUGUAGAUCUCAAAAAGUUAUGAAACUUUAUAGUUGAUAACUUUUUGAUUUGAAUUUGUUUAGAGCCUUAGACAAUCAAUUUACACUUGGUUUGGUAUAAUAUGUAGGGAACCAAAAUGGAAUAUAGUCACAAGUGAUAAUGUAGUGUAGUGGUUAGAGGAGACACGCGAGAGGGAGGUCUUGGGUUUGAAUCCCGCUUGCUAUAUAGCACGUGAACUUUGCGCGAAAAAUGUUGCGACUUGCUCAGUGUCAAAUCGGCACUCACGAGUAGGGAAUUCCCCAAUUUAAUUUUUUUCCUACUCCCUCCAUUCCAAAUUGUAAGUCAUUCCAAGAAUCGUGGAGAGUCAAAACAUUUUCAUAUCUGACCAAAAUUAUAGAGUAAAAUAUUAAGAUUUGUAAUGUAAAGUGAAUAUAGUAUGAAAAUAUAAUUAAGAAAGAAUCUAAUGAUAUUUAGGUGGUAUCAUAAUAAUUAUUAUUUUAUCAUAUAAAUUUGGUCAAACUUUGAAAAGUUUGACUCUCCAAGAUUCUUGGAAUAACUUACAAUUUGAGAUGGAGGGAAUAUUUGUUUUGGAUUUUUUUUCGAUUCAAAAUUUGUUGCGUGUUUUAUUUUGUCGAGUGUCAAACCAGCACUCGGCAAACGCUUUGCCACGUGCCCGACAAAUGACACUCGGUAAAGACGGCUUUGCCAACAACUUUUUUGUCGAGCGCCCUUUGCCGAGUGUGACACUCGGUAAAUGCACUCGGAGAAGCCUUUGUCGAGUGCAAUAUGGGACAGUGAAUCCAGUUGUGAUUAGUUUUCUUAUCCUAUCAAAAAAAUUAAUUUUAAUUUUGCACAUUACUAGAGGCAGCACGCGCAUCCUCACACCACUCUAGCCCGCCACCCGCGAUAGGGUCUGCGGUGACCACCUUCUCCCCCUCCCCCUGCCCCCUCCCGCAUGCAACAAUGACGAACUCCGGCGAGCUCCACCGAAGUUCAACUAUGGUGCCCCUGCCUCGACCUGGCCUAGCCACCACUACCGUCGCCCGCUCCCCUAAACCGCCACAACCAUCCCCGCUGCCUGGCAUACCUGUCUCACCUCGCAUUCUAUAGCCCGCCGGAUCUGAGGAAGAAGCUAGGGUGCGCCGUUGGAACCUUAGGCGCCGCUGGAGCUAGGGAAGAAGAGGGUUGGAGCGGUAGAGAGCAGAAUAGGGCUCACCGGAGUUGUGGAAGAAGAUGGGUGAGGGCGGUGGUAGGCAUGGGCAUGGCCUUUGACAGCGCGGGCAUGGGCACUGGGCGUGGCCUUCGGCGGCUCCAGGAGGCGGCACGUGGUAGACCGUCCGAUGUGCGUAGCGUACAACAUCAAGGCUGUGCGUGCCGAGCGAUGCGAGCGUGCGUGCUUCGAAACAAUCAUUUCAGUUUAAUGUUUCUCUUUGGUAAAUAUAUUUCCCUGUUAGUAAUUGCAUAAAAAAAUUCUGGUUUUCAGUAAUGAAUAAACCAUUAAAAUACAUGCGGGCAUGGCUCCACUUCACCAGUGAAGCUGUUUUUUGAGCUUCGACUCCAUGAACAACUUUAUUGGUGGAGCUGGAGCCAUUUUGGUAAAUCGUUUGGCAAAACAGCUCAUUUCUUAAAAUGUGCUCUCAUAGAAAGUCAUGUAGGAUGAGGUGAAGCCGGGAGAAGCCGCUAUUUUGACUCCUUCGCAUCCCAAAGCUCUGUGAGAGCAUGUUUUUAGGGGCUUCAUUAUGGAGUCAUUUCAUUUUAUCCCGUUUAGCAGAAAACAGCUCCAAACGGCUCCUGAACUCGCUUGAGAAACCCUACCAUACGAGGUCUUAAUGAGUGAACAUAAGAAUCUAAAGAGCUAUUGUAACCUUGACCAAAAUAGCGCUCAUUGUCUUCUGUUCAUGAUUUGGAUCGGAUACCAUGCAAAUUAUGCCAAUAUGAUGAUGUAUUUUAUUUACCACACUUUUGUCGCCUUCUGUGCUGGCCUGGUGCAGAAGUAUCACUUUCACUAGAUUCAAGUCACACAACCAAAAUUAUCAGAGAUUGCUACUGCUACUAAUUGUUGUUAAUUAUUCUUGUUAUACACUUUUGGAUGUGAAUUUUAUUAAGACGUACUGGUGGGGUCGAUCCACAGGAACGGGUGAACAUCACGCUAUCGGUAAAAAAAAAGCACCCAUUUCCAUAUGUUUUAAAAAAAUUGGAAGACAACAGACCUAAUACAAUGGUAGCCACUGGACUACUUAAAGCAACUCUAAGAGACUCCCUGUCGGUAGAAAGAUAGACCUAUUUUUUGCUAGAAAAAAUAGAAAGAACGUGGAUCUAUUAUCAUUGUAGACUACAGUCUUCUUUGGCACAGCUUCGGUUUCGAUUAACUAAUGUACUGUAGCAGUACUUCGCGGUAAAGCCUUAUUUCUCUCCAGAAGAAAAUUAAAUAGGAAGGAGGAGAAACCAGUAAAGCCAAUGUGAAGAGGCUUCACUAGCUUCUGCUACAGUUGCUGUAGUGCACGCCCUACUUAUGUGAGAAUGUGCAGGUGAACGUCAUACUAUCGGCUUCGGGCGGGGCUUUGAAAAGGCAGGUCAAAACUACAUCAAUGCGUUUGUUAGCUACGUGAUGAGAAACGGCAUAUGAAUUAUUAUUAUUAUUAUUAUUAUUAUUAUUAUUAUUAUUAUUAUUAUUAUUAUUAUUAUUAUUAUUAUUAUUAUUAUUAUUAUUAUUAUUAUUAUUAUUAUUAUUAUUAUUAUUAUUAUUAUUAUUAUUAUUAUUAUUAUUAUUAUUAUUAUUAUUAUUAUUAUUAGACGGAAAAAAUUAAGAUAUUUUAUUCAUCUAGGAAAAUAAGAGAGGUAGAGAGUAUCUUGAAUCCCAUCUUAUUAUACUCCCUCUAUUCUAAAAAAAUCAUCAUAUUUUGUUUCAAAAUAAAUCAUAUUAUGUUUGAAUACAUCCUAACUAAAACUAAAUCUAUGACCUAAUAUUAAAGAACAAAGCUAUAUUUUUAUCUAUUUCUUUUUUACUUCUCAUAAUGCCCAUCACCGGUCCCUCCUUAUUUUAUUUGGACUUAGACUCACAUCUCAUGCUUAUACGACUUAGAAUUGCAUGCUUAUUUAUGUGUUGAGUAACAAUAUGAGUUCAAUUUCAAUACUUAUAGGGACAGAUACACAAUUGUUACAUAGAUCUUUGAUCCACAAGUCGUUGCUCAGGUAACAACACGCACACGCACCGUUUGCUAGUUUAUAUAUAAGAAAUCAAUACUUCAUUUAUGAUACCAAAUAUUUUUUUUCGAACAUAUGAUACCAGAUAAUUGUCAUUACUUUAACUAUGAAAUAUACAUAUUUUCAUAGUAGUAUGUAAAUUGAUUAAAUUUAGAAUGAUUUGACCUAGGACAAACUACAAUUAAUGAAUUUUUUAAGGCGUUGAUGAAGUAAGUGCUUACCUCUCUUGGUGUCCUGUCUAUUUGUUGUAAAGUUUAAUGGUGUGGGUUGAGUUCCGCAUUGGAUAUUUGUUUCUCUAAAAAAUACCAAACAAAUAUCUUAAUUUUUUUCGCAUUGGUAUUUUUCUCUCUAAGAAUUGGAGUAUUAUAUUGUCUUUACAUAUGUUCUGGAUUCUUGUUGCAGUCCACCUAAUUCCAAACCCUAGGGGGCAUGAUUGGUUUCCACAUCCGGCCUGGCCAGGCUCGUGGGGUGUGGCGGUGGCUUGAUUGGUUAGCUAUAGGCGUUUUUUUUUUUUGGGUGAGACCCAGGCGCACACUAGACACGAGAUCGAAAUGGAAAAUCAGCCCCUCAGCUAUAACAGGCUCCCAAGGUAUGAAAUAUCUCCUUGCAGCAUGUGUUAGCACCUGUACGGCCUUUCUGCGCCAGGUGAGAGUGUAACAGUAGUACCUGUGUUUAGAUGCGCCUGGAGUAAUAUUGGGGAACAAAAACUCGAAUUUAGAUGUUAAUUAUUUGGUAGCCUCCGAUGGUGUUCCUACCCGGGAUGUUAAUUAAAGAGAGAGCCUGCCCGGCUUGUCAAGCAAAGGCUUGGUUGGAUAGUUACAACAAUCAAACAAAAGGCUGCUGCAUGCAUGCGACAAACCUCUGGCCACCGUGGCCAUGAAUCUCAGGCUAUGUUGGAAGAAAACCCUAUCACACGCUCUGUGGCCGUUUGUCUAAAAAGUCAUGUCCGAAAGUACUAUGCUACUGAAUGGCUUACUAGUAUUACUUACUAUAGUGUCUUGACUCUUUGCUUGAUGUCGAUUGAGCUUCCUUGCAAAAUGACCAACUGUACGUACGUAAGAAUCUAUAUAUAAUUCCUAUCCAUCAUCAAAAAAAUAAAGAAGAAGAUAUUUCAUAGCCUGUAGAUAGAGAAGCUUUCUGCAAUUGGUAUGUACGUCCUUUAAUUUAUACAGAUGCGAAUAAGACUGUUUGGCGCCAUUAUUCUGCCCAUCUCUACCUCCUCCGGUCCUUCGUGUCUUCCUAUACAAGCGAAGCUUUCCCGAUUUGUUGUUCCAUUGCAAGAAUUUGGAUCAGCUCUACCCUAGUAGAUACUAGAUAGUAGUUCAUACAGUAUAUAUUUCCGGUGGUUGAGCGCCGUGUUCAUGGAGGCAGAGGCAGCAAGCAACAUGGAGGACUCAAGCCUGUUCAUGCAGUGGGCGAUGGACACGCUGCUGCAGGAGGAGGAGCCUGCGGUCGACGACGUGCACUGGGCGAUGGACACGCUCCUGCAGGAGGAGGAGGAGGAGCAUGCGGCGGUCGACGGCGGCGACGCAGUAGUCUUCCCCUCGCUCCAAGCGCUCCGCGACGCCUCCCACGCGGCGGAGAUGGUGCGGGAGCUUAUGGCCGUGGCUGCCGCCGCCGAAACCCACGACGCGGCGGCGGCAAACAGCUCGCCGAGCGGUGGUUCCGGCGACGGCGGCGGCGAGGUCACGGACGGCGGCAGCAGCGGGGCCACCGGCACCGAUCCUGCAGCCCCGGCCACUACGGCGGCCACGGAUUACUACGGCGGAUCCUGGCCGCCACAGUCGCCCACCAGCUCGUCGUUCGCGCGCGCGCCACCGCCAGCACCGCCGAGCAGCAACAGCAACACCAUCCUGCCCACGGUGAGCUGGAACUUCGUCACCGGCUCGGCGCAGCCUGGCAGCGAGGGCGUGCUGGAGGAAGCCGCCGUCCCGGCACGCAGCUUGCCGCCGCCUGAGCUGGCUCAACGCCGCCGGUCACCGCCGCCGCCGAGAAGAGCGGCCCACCACCCAGUACGCAGCAUGGGAGCGCCAUCGUCGGCGUCGUGCACGCCGGACCACAUCGUCGCGGAGCGCAAGCGCCGGGAGAAGAUCAACAAGCGAUUGAUCGAGCUCUCCACCGUCAUCCCUGGCCUCAAGAAGGUCCACUCCCAUCCGUUCCAAAUGAACCAAACUCAUGCCCUUGUUCUCUGCGUCGAUCAAAUCCAUGCUAUCGAUCCUGACAAGGACAGGUUGCAGAUGGACAAGGCGACGAUCCUCUCCGACGCGGCCAAGUACGUGAAGGAGCUUCAGCAGCGGCUCAAGGCCCUGGAAGACGCUGCUGCCGCCGACGCCGGCAGCAUCAGGAGAAAAGCGCCGCCGGCGGCGGACGAGAAUGGUGGCUCCGGGUCGCCGACGUCGGCAUCCUCCUCGUCGGGGGCACCAGCACUUCCGGAGAUCGAGGCACGCUUGUCGGAGAGGAGCGUGAUGGUAAGGAUCCAUAGCUGCGGCGGCAAAGGGGUGGCGGCGGCAGCGCUCGCCGUGGUCGAGGGCCUCGGGCUCACCGUCGUCCAUGCCAAUGUCAUGCCAUUCUCGGCUUGCACUAUCAGCAUAACCAUCACAGCAGAGGCAAGUCCGUUUUCUUCUUAUUAUUCUUUUCUCCCCAUAUUUAUUUUAUUUGGAUAUUUGGACUAAUACAUUCAGCAAUCUGAUCUCUGCAUGCUUUCUGUAUUUGAAUAUAUAUAUAUAUAUAUAUAUAUAUAUAUAUAUAUAUAUAUAUAUAUAUAUAUAUAUAUAUAUAUAUAUAUAUAUAUAUAUAUAUAUAUAUAUAUAUAUAUAUAUAUAGAUGUACUAAAAAUACUAAACUUUUGAUUUGGUGUACCAAAUGCCUGAAAAUGCGCUGCUUUAGUUAGCUGGUUAGGAACACAUCUAUAAAAUGGAGGGAAAAUCGUAGACAAAACACAAUUGGCCGGUUAAGAUCAUUUCCAUAUUAAAAGCAUACAAUCCACACAUCAUUAAUGAUAUAGUCUAUGUCGUAAGAUGGUUUGACAGUGCAAACCAAAUACAUAAUGUCAAUUCAUCCUCUUUCCUGUUAAUGAAAAGUGUACCAAGACUGUAAAGAGGAUGAAUUGACAUUAUGUAAUAAUUGUUACAUAAUGUCAAUAUUCCUUCUUAUACAAAGUAAUAAUUGUGUAAGGUUCUGAGUCUGUAAACAGAGGUUUUACUAGCUGGUUGUUUUAAUAAUGCAAAGAGAACACAUAUCGUGAUUGAAAUCUUAAUUUUGGUUCUUGAUUUCAUUUCGACAUUGGUAAUACAUUGCUUUAUAUUGCUUAAUGACAAAAAUUAACAUUUGAGUCAAAUAUAUGCACACAGAGAAACUAGGUGUACUAGCCUACUAGGUACGUUUACUUCCCUUGUAUGAUAAUGUCAUGAGCACACAUUUUUAUCAGGCAUAUCAUUGUGCACUGCCAAACCAAACUGAAUGAUAUUUUCUUGUUGAAAUUGAAGGUAAGUACAUACAAAAAAAAUCAAAUCUACAUCUAUAGGAAGAUCUGAACCUCUUCCAUUUUUAAGGCUUGAUAUAUAAAACAUUUAAAUUUUUAAAGAAAACUAGAAACAAACCCUAAAAAUAUUUGUGAUAACAAGCUAGAAAAGGGUUAUUACUUGCAUUACUUAUUUUGGUGUGUGGCCGCACUACAACUCAACAAUGGUGACUAAUCAGAUAAAUGUAUAUGUCAGAUCACAUCGCAGAACAAAAACAAAAACUACUUGACUAGUUUGAUUAAACAAUAAACUUCUCAUUAAAAGGAAUACAUGGAGGCAUGCAUACCACGAUCUCAUGCUAAAACAUCAAGUUUUGAGAAAUUUUUUUGAGUCCUAGAACACAAGUUUUCUGCGACGGAGGAGUACUAUGUUUCAAUGUGCAGUAAAAUAUAUAGCAAAUGCAACUGUAUACAAAAUUAUUGACACAUAGCACAUAUUUAUGCCAUGUAUCUAGUAACUAUCCCUUUGUUACAUCCAAAAAACUUGAUGUUUAAUUUAGGAUUCAACAUUUGUCCCAAAAAUCUUGAUGUUUUAGCUCUUUGAACUAGAUUGGACCCAUAUAUAGUAGCCUGAGAUUGUGGUAUGCAUGCCUCCAUGCAUUCCUUUUAAUUAGUGACUUGAAUUUUAGCAAAGAUCACCUUCAAUAUAUAGACAUACUGGGCAAUUUCAAUUGAGCACUAAUGUAAUCUAUCCAAAAAAAUCCUAAAACAUCAACCUUUUUUAUGGAAUGGAGAUAAGGUACAAUGUAUUAGCAACUUAAUGCCACUAGAUGAGGCGAAUUCUAAUAUAGGCAGAUCAUGUUGCUUUAUUUUUCAAUAUUGUAUAGGGAUCUACUCUAAUAGAAGUGUGAACUUGUGAAUGGCUUCUUCUCUAUUUUAGAACAUGUGUGGAAAAAGUUUGUAAGACCAGUCUUGAUGGAAGUACCAUCCAAGUUUCAUCAACAUUUAAUAAGCUACCAUGUAGGUAUUUUUUAUGAUGUGGCACCAUAUUUAAGAUAGAGAAAAAUGAGUUCCCAUGGGAAAAAAAUCUAGUGAGACAGUUACAAACUUGUUGUGAGUCAUGGAAUUAAAUGUCUAUGAAACUAUAGAAUAAAACUAAUAUAAGCACUGAGAGUAGUUGUUUCAUUAUUGUAUCCUAUUUGAUGCGGUAUUUUUUUGAAAACAACGCUAUAAAACUUUCUAGACGUCAUAUCGAAGAAAGCCAUUCUAUUAUAUAUGGUCCUACUUGGAGCUGUCGGCAUUAAUUUGUUUGACUGUCGUAUUAUGUGUGCAAAUAUGUAAUAUACAUAUACCUCAGCAAACUACUCAGGCUUAUAUUAGCUUUACUUUUUGUUUCCCUUUGUCUUAUUGUGUGGUAAUAAUAUAUAUUAUUUGGUGCAAACGUCAAUUAUUCAUUUCAGAUGGAGGGCCGCCGCCUCACCUUAACAACGGAGCAGAUUGUUGGCAAGCUCAAGUCUGCAUUAUCACACCAGCGUAGCAUCAGCUGCAAAGAUGCCGAAGAGACAGAAAAUUGAUUGAAUAUAUUUAUAUACAGAAGCGCAACAGUGGAUAUAUAUAUAUAUAUAUAUAUAUAUAUAUAUAUAUAUAUAUAUAUAUAUAUAUAUAUUUGUAAAAAGUUCGUACGGUUUGAUUUUUUCUUCGAUAUAUCGUGCAGUGUGAUCCGGCAUCAUCACGUAGCUAUCUAUCUAUAGAAGCUUCCCAUGCAUGAGGGUGGAUUCUAUGAGUAUAUAGGUCCUAUAAUGCAUGCCUAUAUAAAUAUUUAUAUCCUAUAUGACUAGAUCGUCGGCAUUGGAGGAAGAUGAUCGACACUGAGCCAUAUAUAUGCAUGUCAUCACCGGAGGAGUAACUAUGGUGACUUUGCUCAUCAACCUCAUCAGCUCUAGUACAUCAGUGUCCAUCUGCAGGCGGCUAAUUAAUAUGGUGAGGUUGGCAUCAAGACAGCCUCUCUGUAGCCACAGUAUUUUCUGAUUGCAUUCAUCAGUACAAAGCAUGAUGCGAGAAGGGGGGGGGCCAGUAUAUGAAUGCCCAUGCCCACAAAGCUAAGGAUUCUAUAUAUGUAAGAGUAUUUGCAACUUGCUAUGAGCGAGCACCAACAACUCUAUGAGCAGCAACCUGCAAGUUAUUAGCUUUCAAUUCACGCAUGUUGUUUAACAGUCUCAUCUCAUGUGUGUAAAAAUAAAGCAUGUUCAUGUACCACAUACUGUACCAUGUUGUUUUUUUAAUGAUCGAUCAAUCCAUGUUUUCAUGUAUUAUUACCUGCAUAUGAAAACAAUAUAUAGCGAACUGAGCGAACCACGCUCCGUACAUGGGUUCUGAGCUAAAGAUGGCAACGGGAAAUUCCCCGUCGGAGAUCACUCCACCAUCCCCGUCCCCGCGAGACAAAUAAUUCCCCGUCCCCGUGAAUGGUCACGGGGGAUGUUUUCUUCCCAUCCCCGCUCCCCGCGGGGAAUUUACACCCGACGGAUUCCCCGUCCCCGGCUAAAUUGCAGUCACUUUAAAGCCAAUAACACAUAACAUUCGCACUUAUACAUAAGUAAUAACAAUAUUGAUUGAGGUAUACAAGUCCAUAGAAAUCGGUAGACAACGCAAUUUUGUAAAGAAAAAAAUAAUACAGAAGAGUUAAGAGUAGGAGACGCAUCAUGCUCGAAUCAAAAUCCCAGAAGUUGUAACAAAAGGAGAUAGGGAGGCCAAAUAUUUUAACAGAUCUAGAGCACGACAGUGGGAGACUAGCACCAAAUCCUCAACUAUCUAGAGCAUGACAUCAGAUCUGAAGAUUUGCUGCCUAACUGACUAGUGCCUUCUGCUGCUUGGUGUGGUUGUGCCCUCCUGGCUUCAAUUCGGAAACAGGUGAGGCUCCAAGUCUCCAACUAGGCCUACCUGCAACAGCUGCCGAGCUGCGUGCGGACGGAAGAAUCUCCGAGGCUGACGGAGACGGACAAUGGAGGCUGGAGGGUGGACCACCGACGCCUGGAGACCUGGAUAGAGGGUGGAUCUGCCGAGGCACUGAGCUGGUAGCGGCCGCCAUGCACUCUGCGCGUCGCGCGUUUGCGUCACCGCUUGUGCCGCUCGGGGCUGUGGCUGGAUGGAUAGGGGUAGAGUGGUUGGGUGGGGGUGAGAAUUAGGGUUAGCGUGUAUAUAUAUGUUGGGGCUGGUGGGCCUUGUUACAUGGGCCUUGCGCCCCUGGCUA
rnacentral:lncRNA from 1 species